GGCUCCGUAGUUUAAUGGAUAAAACGAUGGUUUCCGGAACCGUUGAUAGCAGUUCGAUUCUGCUCGGGGCUA
rnacentral:tRNA from 1 species